CCUCUGUUGUGCCUUUAGAACUGCCGUUCACAGCAAUGAUUGUUAGAAAUAUGCAGUGAGGACCAGUCCAGUGAACUAUGAGAGAGAAAGAGACAGAGAAAACCAUCAUCCGCAUGCAGAGAGAAUCAGCACCUAAUACAGGCGCAUACAUGCACGCUUACACACACACUCGCACAUGCAUAUACACUCAGUGAGACAGCAAGCACAGCAGACUUACGACAUCUCCUUGCCUUAACAAGCACAGCAGCUCUUUUUAUUCUACCAUGGCUGAGCUCAGUAUAGAGUAACUGGAUCUUGCUUUCUCCACAGGGAUCUGCCCACAGCUGUGGCUAAUUAUUGGAUUUUUGAGGAACAUUAAGAAAUCAGAUGUUCAUGCCUUGCAGAGUAGCUUGGCUGUUUCAUUCCAAAUUUCGUUCUCUGUUUUCUGUCAUUUGACUGAGUUAUUCUGUUUGGAUAUAUAUCUGUUGGAUUGCAUUUUACUGCAGAAAGAGACUUCAGACUGACUCUUGAAACAAUGAGGAAUUAGGGGAAAAAAACUGCAGUGUUUUCUCACAGGUCUUGUUGGAGAUGUGAUCAUCAGAACUCUGCCAGGAAGUUUUAAUUUGACACAAACUGGUCGUCUUCUUGGCUUUGACUUUAACAAGAGAGAGAUUCACAUACAAGGGCAAAUUCUAGUCGUGAAGGAUUUAUUUUUGUUAUAAAAAUGAUGGAUCUUAAAGUGGAAACUGAAGAAGAGGAGAGUACAAAACCUGUCAGCGUCCAAGCUUUUGCUAACAACUCUACCCUGCAUGGCAUUUCCCACAUCUUCACUCAUGAGGGGUUCACUUUCAGACGUGUAUGCUGGUGUAUCCUGUUUAUGGGUUCUCUAGCUUUUUUAAUCCUCGUGUGUACAGAGAGGAUUCAGUACUACUUUGAGUACCCACAUGUCACUAAACUGGAUGAGGUGAAUGCCCACCUUAUGAGAUUCCCUGCUGUUACGUUCUGUAAUCUUAAUGAGUUCAGAUUCAGCAAGGUGACGAGGAAUGACUUGUAUCAUGCAGGGGAGUUUCUGUCACUGCUCAACAACAGUUCCCAUCCUCAUUUGCUGCCAACUGAGUUGAUACCCCAUCGUGAGACAGGCCCUUCUUUGCUGAUGUUGAAGUCUCAGUUGCAGGUGCCUGCAGUCGUGCAGG